UAGAGGACCAAUGUUGGCGGCGCUCAGGCCAACCCCUAUCUCGGUGUUUUCUCUCACAUCACAGCAGCGGUUGAGCUCCUGCGGCCGCUGCCGGGCCGGCCGCCUUCUCUCUUCGGCCACCUUCCUCAAGUGCCCUCCACCGCCAGAUCAGCCGAUGGGAGCGGGCAACCUCCGCUGAGAGCCUACGGUAUGUAAAAAUCUAUACUUCUUGAUGUGCUUACCCUUCCCAAUCGGGUUUGCAGUCAAUGGAUCGAACUCACCCCAGCCCAAAUCUAGCUCUUUGCCCUCCGAUUAAGCCUUUGAUUGAUUAACUUUCUGUCUAUUUCCUCCUUCACAUCGAAUCCAUCUCCCAAGUCCCAACUCUAUUCCUCCCUGCUAGAUUGUUUUUUUCAGGUCCAAUCCAUGCCUUUCCCCUUUUCUGGCUAGAAUUAGAACACAUUUCCUUCCAAAAUGGGUGCAGCAGCAUGUUCGAAUCGCCAUCUCAAAAUAGACUGAUUGUGCCUUCUCCAGUUCUCUCUUCAGUGAUUUACUAAAAGUUAGUUACAUCACUUAUUUAUUUCCAUUCUUGCAUUGUAGUCCCUACAAACUGAAUGUUUAGAACUCGAUUUGCUUACCUGCUUCACUGAAAUGCAUAUUAAAAAACUGGUUACUACAUUUUCUCUUGAAGAUUUCCAUUUUUUUCACCUUCUCAUUUUAUUUACGUGCUUCUAAAUAUGAUCAGGUAGCCCCCUGCCUCUCUCGAAGAAGGUUCUGUUUCUGACAUUAUCCAGAGUUUUAUUUACAACAAAUUUAUUUAUGGAUGAUUCCUGUUUUUGUAGGCUGCAAAGUAAACUGAAUGAUCAUUCAUACCAAUGUAGCAUCGCUAAGUAAAAUAUGCUCAUCAGACUGUCUCCAACAGCGGAUACCUAAAUGCGAGACGCAUUUGUUUGUUUGGGUCACACACA